rnacentral:rRNA from 1 species
UACGGAGGGUGCAAGCGUUAUCCGGAUUCACUGGGUUUAAAGGGUGCGUAGGCGGGUUGGUAAGUCCGUGGUGAAAUCCCCAAGCUUAACUUGGGAACUGCCGUGGAUACUAUCAAUCUUGAAUAUCGUGGAGGUAAGCGGAAUAUGUCAUGUAGCGGUGAAAUGCUUAGAUAUGACAUAGAACACCAAUUGCGUAGGCAGCGUACUACACGAUCAUUGACGCUGAUGCACGAAAGCGUGGGGAGCAAACAGG